CCUACGGGAGGCAGCAGUGGGGAAUAUUGGACAAUGGGCGAAAGCCUGAUCCAGCAAUGCCGCGUGAGUGAAGAAGGCCUUCGGGUUGUAAAGCUCUUUUACCCGGGAAGAUAAUGACUGUACCGGGAGAAUAAGCCCCGGCUAACUCCGUGCCAGCAGCCGCGGUAAUACGGAGGGGGCUAGCGUUGUUCGGAAUUACUGGGCGUAAAGCGUACGUAGGCGGCUUUGUAAGUCAGAGGUGAAAGCCCACGACUCAAUCGUGGAACUGCCUUUGAGACUGCUUCGCUUGAAGAUGGGAGAGGUUAGUGGAAUUCCGAGUGUAGAGGUGAAAUUCGUAGAUAUUCGGAAGAACACCAGUGGCGAAGGCGGCUAACUGGACCAUUCUUGACGCUGAGGUACGAAAGCGUGGGGAGCAAACAGGAUUAGAUACCCUGGUAGUCCACGCCGUAAACGAUGAUAACUAGCUGUCGGGGCUCUUGGAGCUUCGGUGGCGCGGCUAACGCAUUAAGUUAUCCGCCUGGGGAGUACGGCCGCAGGUUAAAACUCAAAGGAAUUGACGGCUGAGACGNGCGAGCGACGACGAGGGAGUUAGG
rnacentral:rRNA from 1 species